UACCAGCACCCCGAGUGGUCGGGACGAUUAUUGGGCCUAAAGCAUCCGUAGCCGGUUCUACAAGUCUUCCGUUAAAUCCACCUGCUUAACAGAUGGGCCGCGGAGGAUACUAUGGAGCUAGGAGGCGGGAGAGGCAAGCGGUACUUAGUGGGUAGGGGUAAAAUCCGUUGAUCCAUUGAAGACCACCAGUGGCGAAGGCGGCUUGCCAGAACGCACUCGACGGUGAGGGAUGAAAGCUGGGGGAGCAAACCGG
rnacentral:rRNA from 1 species